rnacentral:rRNA from 1 species
GACGAACGCUGGCGGCGUGCUUAACACAUGCAAGUCGAACGGUGAAGCGCCUUCCUUUUUGGUGGGUGUGGAUGAGUGGCGAACGGGUGAGUAACACGUGAGUAACCUGCCCCCUUCUUCUGGAUAACCGCAUGAAAGUGUGGCUAAUACGGGAUAUUCUGGGUCUGUCGCAUGAUGGGUCUGGGAAAGAUAUUGUUUCGGUGGGGGAUGGGCUCGCGGCCUAUCAGCUUGUUGGUGGGGUGAUGGCCUACCAAGGCGGUGACGGGUAGCCGGCCUGAGAGGGUGGACGGUCACACUGGGACUGAGCCACGGCCCAGACUACUACGGGAGGCAGCAGUGGGGACUAUUGCACAAUGGGCGCAAGCCUGAUGCAGCGACGCCGCGUGGGGGAUGGAGGCCUUCGGGUUGUGAACCUCUUUCGCCAGUGAAGCAGGCCUGCCUCGUUUGUGGGUGGGUUGACGGUAGCUGGAUAAGAAGCGCCGGCUAACUACGUG